rnacentral:rRNA from 1 species
AUAACACGUAAAGAACCUGCCCAUAGGUCUGGGAUAACCACGAGAAAUCGGGGCUAAUACCGGAUGUGUCAUCGGACCGCAUGGUCCGCUGAUGAAAGGCGCUCCGGCGUCGCCCAUGGAUGGCUUUGCGGUGCAUUAGCUAGUUGGUGGGGUAACGGCCCACCAAGGCGACGAUGCAUAGCCGACCUGAGAGGGUGAUCGGCCACACUGGGACUGAGACACGGCCCAGACUCCUACGGGAGGCAGCAGUAGGGAAUCUUCCACAAUGGACGAAAGUCUGAUGGAGCAACGCCGCGUGAACGAUGAAGGCUUUCGGGUCGUAAAGUUCUGUUGUAAGGGAAGAACAAGUGCCGCAGGCAAUGGCGGCACCUUGACGGUACCUUGCGAGAAAGCCACGGCUAACUACGUGCCAGCAGCCGCGGUAAUACGUAGGUGGCAAGCGUUGUCCGGAAUUAUUGGGCGUAAAGCGCGCGCAGGCGGCCUCUUAAGUCUGAUGUGAAAGCCCCCGGCUCAACCGGGGAGGGCCAUUGGAAACUGGGAGGCUUGAGUAUAGGAGAGAAGAGUGGAAUUCCACGUGUAGCGGUGAAAUGCGUAGAGAUGUGGAGGAACACCAGUGGCGAAGGCGACUCUUUGGCCUAUAACUGACGCUGAGGCG